UUCGGUGAUGAAAACUGCUGCAUAGGAAGUGCCGUCUGACGCGAUAGCUGACGAUUAAUAGCGGUUCUGAGA
rnacentral:snoRNA from 1 species